UACGUAGGGGGCAAGCGUUGUCCGGAUUUACUGGGCGUAAAGCGCGUGUAGGCGGCUACGCAGGUCCGUUGUGAAAACUGGAGGCUCAACCUCCAGACGUCGACGGAAACCGUGUGGCUAGAGUCCGGAAGAGGAGAGUGGAAUUCCUGGUGUAGCGGUGAAAUGCGCAGAUAUCGGGAGGAACACCGGUGGCGAAGGCGGUUCUCUGGGCCUUACCUGACGCUGAGGAGCGAAAGCGUGGGGAGCGAACAGG
rnacentral:rRNA from 1 species